CGAGUCGAAUGGGGCCCGAAGCAAGGCGUCUCACAGUGGAAUAAGACUCGGCCAUGGAACGAGUGAAACCAGGACGUUUGCAGCAAACCGAGGCACUGCGGACACUGUGGGAGUGAGACAAGCCAGGCACAGAGGAGAACCCACGCGGGAAGUCACUCAGCGUCCUCUUGGAUAAGUUCCAGUGAGCCCAGAGGGAAAUGGCUCCCUGCCACAGCGCUGACGCCAGGGGUGCUGGGCAACCUUGGUUCUUGUCCUAGAACCCCCGUAUCUCUGUGGUCGCCACCAUGGCAGCCCUCAGGUGUGGCAGCCCCCAGUGGUGCCCUGGAGCUCGUGGUCACAGGCAGUAUCCCUGGGGACAGGAGGUCAGCUGAGCCAGGUGGGCGUGGGCACAGCACAGCAGCCACGAG